rnacentral:rRNA from 1 species
UAAGGAAUAUUGGUCAAUGGACGCAAGUCUGAACCAGCCAUGCCGCGUGAAGGAUGAAGGUCCUCUGGAUUGUAAACUUCUUUUAUCUGGGACGAAAACGGGAUUUUUAUCUCAAUUGACGGUACCAGAGGAAUAAGCACCGGCUAACUCCGUGCCAGCAGCCGCGGUAAUACGGAGGUUGCGAGCGUUAUCCGGAUUUACUGGGUUUAAAGGGUGCGUAGGUGGGCUUAUAAGUCAGUGGUGAAAUCUCCGAGCUUAACUUGGAAACUGCCGUUGAUACUAUAGGUCUUGAAUUAUCUGGAGGUAAGCGGAAUAUGUCAUGUAGCGGUGAAAUGCUUAGGUAUGACAUAGAACACCAAUUGCGAAGGCAGCUUACUACAUAUAAAUUGACGCUGAGGCACGAAAGCGUGGGGAUCAAACA